UACGUAGGGGGCGAGCGUUGUCCGGAAUUAUUGGGCGUAAAGAGCGUGUAGGCGGUUCGGUAAGUCUGUCGUGAAAUCCUGGGGCUCAACCCCGGGACUGCGUCCGAUACUUCCGAGCUGGAGGUAGGUAGGGGAGAUCGGAAUUCCUGGUGUAGCGGUGAAAUGCGCAGAUAUCAGGAGGAACACCGGUGGCGAAGGCGGAUCUCUGGGCCUUACCUGACGCUGAGGCGCGAAAGCUAGGGGAGCGAACAGG
rnacentral:rRNA from 1 species